rnacentral:tRNA from 1 species
GCCUUGGUGGUGUAACGGUAGCACACUCGGCGUGUAUUCCAGAAGUCCAGGUUCGAGUCCCGGCGAGGGCA